ACCAAGAUGGCUUAUCGGUUCUCCUGGAAGCCUCGAAGAGAAAAGAAUUGUCGAUUAAGCUUAACGGUAACUGUGUGACAUUUUCCGACCAGUUUCGUUGACUAAAAUGCAGAUGUUUCACACCCCUACAUAGGUUUCACACCCAAUCCUAUUUGGGCAGGAAGUUGAGACAGUGUUCACAUACGCCUGUAUGAGGAGAGAAGGAGCAUAAAAAUUCAUGGGAUGUUAACCCAUCAACAUCACACCAGGAGGAGCAGCUUCGUGAACAUCUCAUUCUCAGUGAUGACCAAGCCCGGAAAAAGUCAAAGCUAAAACACUUGCAACCCUCUUCAACCAGAAAUGUGAAGUGGAUGAUGCAUCUUGGCCUUAUCAAGUCCUCACCAUCAUAGAAGACAGCCUUCACCGAGCACAAGUUGGACACAACAAAGGUUAUGAGGCAGGCACCAUUUCACUGUAGCACAAUAAUAAGAUUAUAAUGUUUUGGUAUGAUUGUUAAUGUUUGGUAAUGUAAUGGUAUUUUUAAAUUUGGGGUAAAAUCAAGAGGUUCAUGUGACCUUUUGGAAUUUGCCUAACAGCGUGUUUGGGUGGUAUGAGAAUUAGAAAUCAAAGGAAGGCUUAGAUUGUUUUACUGCAAAGAAGGUACAUUGUAUUUAUGCUUGGACACCAUAGCAACAACCAAAGUCAGUUAUUAAUUUUGCAUAUCAUUUUCACACAGUGGGAUAGAGUUUCUGCUUUGGGACUUCAAACUGGGCACUACUUUGCUCAAAAUUAUACCUGUGUUAAAAAGUGUACUUUUCAUGAGAUACUUCUCAAAGGCAUUUACAAAACAGUUAAUGCAAAUUUUGCAAUGAACUACUGCAGUCAAGCAACUAGCUAGAAUCUUUAAUUUUAACCUGUACCAAGUGCUUUGAAGCAUUUGAUUUGGAAUAUUCCCUCCAACUAAUGGCACAUUCCCAGAAACACCCUUGUAACUAAAGUGUGCCUUUUGACCUGUACUUUAAUUUUGAACAAAGAACAGUACAGCACUGGGACAGGCCUUACAAUUCACCAAGCCUGUUCCAACACUUGACCCCUUUCUCAGCUUUUGCCUCUACAUGGACCGUAUUCCUCCAUUCCCUGCCUAUUCAUGUAUCUGUCAAGAUGCCUGUUACAUCUUGCUGUUGUGUCUGCUUCUACCUCCUCCUUUGGCAGCACAUUCCAAGUAUUUUCCACCACGUGUAAAAAAAAACUUGACUCUCACAUCUCUUUAAACUUUUCCCCUUUUAUCUUAAACCUAUUUCCCAUAUUUCUACCCUGGAAAAAAGACUGAAUAUCCACACCUCUCAUAAUUGUCCCCAGUCUCCAACGUUCAAGUGAAAAUAAACCAAGUUUAUCCAACAACAAAAACAAAGUUCCUGGAAAAGUUCAGCAGGUCUGGCGGCAUCUGUGAAGGAAUAAACACAGUUAAUGUUUCUAGUCCGGUGACCCUCAGAACUGAUGGUGGCUGGGAAAACAUCAGUUUAUAUGCAGAAAAAAAGAGGAGGGGAAUGGGGUUGGGAGUAAACGAUACAAUAGAGCUUAAAGAGAGAGUAGAGCAGUUGGACAGACAAAGAGUUGAUAACUUUCAGGCUGGGAGGGGGAAUAGUUGAUAAUGGGGACUAUUCGUAACUAAUAACAGGUUGUAUGUAAUGGCAAGCUAUGUGGUAACAAGGCCUGGUCUGUGGGGAACGGGACUGGGAUAUGGUAAAGUUUAGGCCCUAAAAUUAUUGAACUUGAUAUUGAGUCCAGAGGGCUGCAGGGUCACUAAGCAGAAAAUGAGGUAUUGUCCUUCUAGCUUGCAUUGAACAUCACUAGAAAACUGCAUGCAAGCCAGAGACAGACAUGUUAGUCAGGGACAGGGUGGUGCGUUAAAGUGGCAGGCAAUGGGUAGUUCAGGGUCUUUUUUAUGUGAGCAGACCGUAGAUGUUCUGUGAAGCAGUCACCUUGUCUAUGCUUUGUUUCCCCAAUGUAAAGGAGACCACAUUGCAAGCAGCGAAUGCAGUAGACUAGAUUCUGGGAAGUGCGGGUGAAGUGCUGCUUCACCUAGAAGGGGCUGCUUGUUUCAGCAACAACAAAAUUACUGUUGACGAGUGAUCACUUUACCAAGUGAUCUAAGUGUCCAUUAAGUCCUAUCUGGCUUGUUGUGCUUGAUGCUGCAAAGUUCUAUCAUGCUGAAGGUUUCAUUUCUUCUCGAGGACCCAUUUGAGGUAAUACUUGGUUCACAUUCAUCGAUCUGAAGGAUGCUAACACUGAAGAAUGGAACAAUGCCAGUACAAAACUCGCCAGACUUUCUCCUAAACAGUUGGAUUGAGAAUGAGAUACCAAGUACUGUAUCCCAAACACAUGCUGCAGGAUCCAUUGGUGCACACAAGUGAUAUUUUUCUAAUUCUCUAACAGGCUAUCCUUGAGUCACUAUAAUCAAAAUGUUUAGUUUGCUGCUAUGGACCUACAUAGAUCUUAUCUCAAGUUAUCUGCUCAUACCCAAGGCUUGAACCAAGUGGUUUGUUUCUGUGUUGUAAAAUUCUAUACUGACUAAUUUGACUAUUAAAAGAGCCCACAACAAGGACAA